rnacentral:misc_RNA from 1 species
ACACACAUUAAACCAACUUGGUAAGACUCCUCAAAAAGCACAAUUUACAAAGUGUGUUAAGGAAAUCAUGUUAAAAAUAAAAAGAGAGGAGGGAGCAUUUCCAGAUUCUGUCAUUCUAAAUUUUGUUAAUAUAGUUUGAACAACAUUUCAGGCAACUAAAAGAAUAUGCUCCAAGUAAAAUAUAUAAUUGGAAAUCUCCCAAACAUCAAACAAAAAUUUACAUUAAUACAAGUGUGUAUGAGAGGCCACCACAAUAUAGAAAAAUAAUAGAAUAAAAAUAAAA